UGGGAAUAUUGCGCAAUGGGGAAACCCUGACGCAGCAACGCCGCGUGAGUGACGAAGGCCUUCGGGUUGUAAAGCUCUGUCGGAGGGGAAGAAACUAUUCAUGGCUAAUAUCCAUGGAUAUUGACGGUACCCUCAAAGGAAGCACCGGCUAACCUCGUGCCAGCAGCCGCGGUAAUACGAGGGGUGCAAGCGUUGUUCGGAAUUACUGGGCGUAAAGCGCGUGUAGGCGGCCCAUUAUGUCAGGUGUGAAAGCCCUCGGCCUAACCGAGGAAGUGCGCCUGAAACUGAUAGGCUUGAGUACGAGAGAGGAGGACGGAAUUCCCAGUGUAGAGGUGAAAUUCGUAGAUAUUGGGAGGAACACCGGCGGCGAAAGCGGUUCUUCUGGAUCGAUACUGACGCUAAGACGCGAAAGCGUGGGGAGCAAACAGGAUUAGAUACCCUGGUAGUCCACGCCGUAAACGAUGGAUAUUAGUUGUUGCGGGUUUAAACCUCGCAGUGACGACGCUAACGCAUUAAAUAUCCCGCCUGGGG
rnacentral:rRNA from 1 species